rnacentral:rRNA from 1 species
UACGUAGGGCGCGAGCGUUAAUCGGAAUUACUGGGCGUAAAGCGUGCGCAGGCGGUUAUGUAAGACAGAUGUGAGAUCCCCGGGCUCAACCUGGGGACUGCAUUUGUGACUGCAUAGCUAGAGUACGGUAGAGGGGGAUGGAAUUCCGCGUGUAGCAGUGAAAUGCGUAGAUAUGCGGAGGAACACCGAUGGCGAAGGCAAUCCCCUGGACCUGUACUGACGCUCAUGCACGAAAGCGUGGGGAGCAAACAGG